rnacentral:lncRNA from 1 species
CGAUACUGUUGUAAAUUGUUACUCGUUAUACAAACAAGUUUAAAACGAUUGGAUUGAUCAAUAAGCAAAGCUCAAAAUAUAAAAGGAUCGCAGAGAGACAUGGUAAAUAUUGUAAGAUGAUUAUCAAAAUGAAAAGAUCCAUCUCUAAAACAAGAGGAGGUAAAAACCUAAAGCCGUCUAUUCAAUCCAAAUUACAAAAAUAAAAAUGCAGAAACUGUGUCUCGGCGAAAUCACUCACAGCAACACAAAUUUUUAUUCUUAGUUAAAAUUCACACUGACAAUCUCCAGUGAGACAAAAUUUGGAACACUCCGAUGCAAUCCAAGCUCAGCCUCAUCAAGCAACAGAAGCAAUGUGGACAAUCAAAUCAAUAACACGGGUACUGCAACACCAAAAAACAACGUAUUAUGAGUACGAAGAACACUACGUAUAUUUUGGACAAUCAAUUCAAUGCCAUAUUGUGACAGCAAGGUCUUAGAGUAGUUUACCUGUAACCCCAUUCGUUGUCAUACCAAGAAACAAGUUUCACAAAGUUGUCAUUCAAAGCAAUUCCAGCCUUGGCAUCAAAGAUGCUAGACCUGUAAAUGAAAAUAAAGUCCAACACAAUAAUAAUUAGAUUGAGAGAACACCAAAAACUGAUCAUGAUAGUUUAUCUUCAAAGUUGCUUAAAAAACCAACAUUACCUGCUAUCACCAAUAAAGUCAGUGGAUACCACAUCAUCUUCAGUGUAACCCAAAAUACCCUUCAGCUUGCCCUCUGAUUCCUCCCUGGUUUUUGCAAUUUCAACAAAAUAGGUUAUGUUAGGAGGGAAAAAUUAUUCAAUUAGUCAAAUAUAAGAGAUUCAAGUUUAAGACUUACUUGAUGGCAGCCUUGAUCUCCUCAUAGGUUGCUUUCUUCUCAAGCCUUACAGUAAGGUCAACAACUGAAACAUCGACGGUAGGCACACGGAAUGACAUUCCGGUCAAUUUACCAUUCAGUACUGGAAGAACCUUUCCUACAGCCUGUAUGUUCCAAAUUCAACAUUCAUUAACAAGAGUAAUGAAAUUGAAAUAAAACUUGCACCAUCCAACCAUGUAACAUAACUUGACAAGGUUAUAUCAUUAUAGAGUACCUUGGCAGCUCCAGUGCUGCUGGGAAUGAUGUUGAACGAAGCAGCUCUUCCACCUCUCCAGUCCUUGCUUGAUGGGCCAUCAACAGUCUUCUGGGUGGCUGAUUCAUCACACCAAACAAUCAAUCAAUUAAUCAUGAAUAUAAUCUUACUCUAAAAUGAAGAACAAGAAAAAGAAAACAUUAAAAUGAAUAAAUUCUAGUUCUAGUUAGUAAAAAGAUAAAUAAGCAACCUGUGAUGGCGUGGACUGUGGUCAUAAGACCCUCAACGAUUCCAAAUCGGUCAUUAAUAACCUGCAAAGAGUUAAGAUUAAUAAUUUUAUCCAAUGAAGCUAAUAAUUUAACCCUAACCAAUAAACAUAUUAAAAGGGUAAUGAAAAAAAACCUUGGCGAGGGGAGCAAGGCAAUUGGUAGUGCAACUAGCAUUGGAAACAAUGUUAAGCUCUGGUUUGUAUUCUUUCUCGUUAACACCGACAACAAACAUAGGUGCAUCUUUGCUGGGAGCAGAAAUGACAACCUUCUUGGCACCACCCUAAUCACCACAACAAUCCAAAUUCAAAUUACACACAUUUCAAAUUUAAACUAUAGAAAUCUAAUCAACUGUUUUUAGUAGAUUAUUAGUACUCAAUAUCAUUGUAUCAAUCAAUCAAACAGGGAACAACUAACAAUAUGUAAACAUAAUACUAGUCGACUGUAACAAAACACAAAACACAUGAUUCAUAUCAAAUAAACAAAUGAUAACAGACUAUCAAGCAUUGUCUCACUGAGUGGCGUCGGAUAUAUGGAUCUAACGACCCCAUAAUGAUCUAUCAGAUAAAAAUAAUCAAAAUAAUAAUUGAAAUUGAGAUUAAUGAAAUAAAAUGAACCUUCAAGUGAGCAGCAGCUUUAUCCUUGUCAGUGAAAACACCAGUUGACUCAAUAACGUAAUCAGCUCCAACCUCACCCCAUGGAAUCUCCUCAGGGUUCCUAUUAUAUUCAGAUGCAAUCAAAUUUAUCAACUAAUUCAUUAUUAAAAUUAAUUACAUCCAAAAAGGGCAUGAGAUUCAGAUCCAAAAUCAGAGAUCAUAAAUUACCUGGUUCCGAAAACAGCAACUUCUUUCUCACCAAAGAGAAGGGUCUUAGUGUCCUUAACCUUAAGUUCAAAAUGCUUCCACUGACCGUGAACAGUGUCAUACUUGAACAUAUAGGUCUGCAUAUACAAAAAACACAUUGUAAAAAUAAAAAUCCAGAGUUCGACUUUGAUUGUUAGGUUAAAUUGUAAUCGGAUCAGAGAUUUUACCAUGUAAUCAGUAGUGAUGAAAGGAUCGUUGAUAGCAACGAGUUCAACAUCGUUUCUUUGAAGAGCAACUCUAGCAACCAAUCGUCCAAUUCUUCCAAAUCCUGUUUACAGAAAGAAAUAAUUUAAUUAAGUAAAAUUAAUUAAGAUAAAACAAACAACGUAAUGAAAGUAGUAAGAAUUGAAUUACCGUUGAUUCCGAUCCUGAUCUUCUUGUCAGAUGCUGAUCAACAAAUAAAAGAGACAUUAAUUAAUAAACGAUUAAAAGGUGAUAUAGAGAGAAAAAGAGUAGAAUGAACACAUACCCAUUGAAACAGAGAGUGAGAGUUGAAAAAAGUUUGAGAAAAUAAGAAUGAGAUUAGAGUGAGGUU